UCCUACGGGUGGCUGCAGUAGGGAAUAUUGCACAAUGGAGGAAACUCUGAUGCAGCGACGCCGCGUGAGUGAUGAAGGACUUCGGUUCGUAAAGCUCUGUCGUAUGGGAAUAAGAAAGUGAAUGUACCAUGCAAGAAAGGAUCGGCUAACUUCGUGCCAGCAGCCGCGGUAAGACGAGGGAUCCUAGCGUUGUUCGGAAUCAUUGGGCGUAAAGCGGAUGUAGGUGGCUUUGUAAGUCGGGUGUGAAAGCCCAGGGCUCAACCCUGGAAGUGCAUUCGAUACUGCGAAGCUUGAGUGCCGGAGAGGUUAGUAGAAUACCUGGUGUAGUGGUGAAAUACGUAGAUAUCAGGUGGAAUACCGGAGGCGAAGGCGGCUAACCAGCCGGACACUGACACUCAGAUCCGAAAGUGUGGGGAUCAAACAGGAUUAGAUACCCUGGUAGUCUC
rnacentral:rRNA from 1 species